rnacentral:rRNA from 1 species
CGGGUGAGUAAUAUAUCGGAACGUACCCAAGAGUGGGGGAUAACGUAGCGAAAGUUACGCUAAUACCGCAUACGAUCUAAGGAUGAAAGCAGGGGACCGCAAGGCCUUGUGCUCCUGGAGCGGCCGAUAUCUGAUUAGCUAGUUGGUAGGGUAAAGGCCUACCAAGGCAACGAUCAGUAGCUGGUCUGAGAGGACGACCAGCCACACUGGAACUGAGACACGGUCCAG